GACCGCCCCUUCGGGGCUGAGGCCACACGGACAGCCGGGUCGAAUGCCGA
rnacentral:sRNA from 1 species